rnacentral:misc_RNA from 1 species
UCACUCACGGCCACCCUCAACAUUGGUGACCCCGACGUGAUCGACAGCAAAAACUGAGGUGUGACCGUGAUAGCACUACUGAGAGCUUUCAUCAUCGCGAAUCUAGACCUGUGGUAAGCUGGACCCUACCGCUACGACGAACACGGGACGCAAAAAGCUACUUUUACAGCGAACCUCGACACCUCCUCACCUCCGAUCGCGCGCAAAAGCAGGUGACAGGAUACGAGACGAUGACCAAGCCAGGAGUGAUGUAGCCAUCGCAAAGUUCAUGGGCAUCACCACCAGCACGUCAUACUAAAAUGAGGAACAGAGGCUCCCACACUCGUACGCAGAACGCCCGCACCGUAUUGACAGGUAUCCACCGCCACAUUGAAGACUUCGCGCAACAUCCGCACGAAUUGGACGACAGUCGGCUGACGCUUUAUUACACUAAGAUUCUAACGCUAUCACUGGUAAGGGGGUACUGUGGCGGCACUCGACAAGCCAAAUACCACCACCACUCGACACUAACUAGUGUAGGACGACGGCAGCGCAGUGGUUACCCCUCCCCACCCCUCCCAGUCCAUCCCCUCCCAGCCCCUCCCUAAUAGGCUAGCGAACUGUCCUGUUUUUGCGUCCAGGCUUUCAGGACAUAAAUUAAAAUAUCGUACAUAAGCACAGCGCAACAGCGGCUUAAUUUUAUUUUAUUUAACAAUAAUAAUCUUAAAAAAAAAAAAAAAUAGAAAAGAAUGUAGUAAUGCAUGGCUACGUCGUACCGCCGCGUAUCGGUACUCUUGCCUGUACCACCCUACAAUUAGAAUUCAGCGUUUAUUCUGGAAAAAAAAUGAUGUAAAAAAAUAUGUAAAUAACCUGGAACAAAUAAACAGAGAUAAAAAAAAAAAAAAAAAAAGCAGCGCAGUGGUUAAGUUGGUGUUAGGUUGCGAACGUUCGGAACCCGGGUUCGAAUCCCGGCGACCGGAGUCCGAAUUUACUCCCACGCACCGAAAAACGGAGGAAAAAUCAGCAGUACCCCGGCAGCGACAUCUACAGCCCCCAGUGACAAUUGCAGCGGACCAGGCCCAACUACUACAACUAUAACUCACUCACGGCCACCCUCAACACGUAUACAGAUCGAAAUGACAGUACUUUUUAAAGGAUUGACACACAUAAGGUGAUAUGUAUAGCGGACUUCUUUUUAAGCGUGCAAUUCGUUGGCCAAAUGAGACUUAACGCGGUGUGAUUAUGCAAUCGUUUUAUUUUCCCCCUGUUGACUGUUGAUUGUAUGUAUGAUAAUUUAUCGUUUGUGCGAGUGCAUUACUUUAUACGACGUAGGAGAAGAUUAGCGAUAACAAGAAGAAUAACGUGUCGUCGAUAUAAUAGAAAUACGUAAAUAGAAUGCUUCAUAAGACUUAGAUAUUAUUAUAUACGCAUCGUUCGAUCCGUUUGUGUUCCUGCACGAUGUAGAUUUUGGAGAAAUAUCGAAGAAAUCGAUUUUCUUAUCGAGUUUCCUUCGUUCCGUAUAUUUCGUUCGACCGAAUUUUGAUUUUACUCGUUGCACAUUUAAAUCCCUUUCGAUGUGUGAAUGUAUCCAUGAAAUUAAUUAAAUC